UAGCUAGUUGGUGGGGUAAAGGCUCACCAAGGCGACGAUCUGUAACGGGUCUGAGAGGAUGAUCCGCCACACUGGGACUGAGACACGGCCCAGACUCCUACGGGAGGCAGCAGUGGGGAAUAUUGGACAAUGGGGGAAAGCCUGAUCCAGCCAUGCCGCGUGUGUGAAGAAGGCCUUUUGGUUGUAAAGCACUUUAAGCUAGGAGGAGGGUCCCUUAGUUAAUACCUUAAGUGAGUGGACGUUACUCGCAGAAUAAGCACCGGCUAACUUUGUGCCAGCAGCCGCGGUAAUACAGAGGGUGCGAGCGUUAAUCGGAUUUACUGGGCGUAAAGCGUGCGUAGGUGGUUUGUUAAGUCGGAUGUGAAAUCCCCGAGCUUAACUUGGGAAUUGCAUUCGAUACUGGAGAGCUAGAGUAUGGGAGAGGAUGGUAGAAUUUCAGGUGUAGCGGUGAAAUGCGUAGAGAUCUGGAGGAAUACCGAUGGCGAAGGCAGCCAUCUGGCCUAAUACUGACACUGAGGUGCGAAAGCAUGGGGAGCAAACAGGAUUAGAUACCCUGGUAGUCCAUGCCGUAAACGAUGUCUACUAGCCGUUGGGGCCUUUGAGGUUUUAGUGGCGCAGCUAACGCGAUAAGUAGACCGCCUGGGGAGUACGGUCGCAAGACUAAAACUCAAAUGAAUUGACGGGGGCCCGCACAAGCGGUGGAGCAUGUGGUUUAAUUCGAUGCAACGCGAAGAACCUUACCUGGCCUUGACAUACUAAGAACUUUCCAGAGAUGGAUUGGUGCCUUCGGGAACUUAGAUACAGGUGCUGCAUGGCUGUCGUCAGCUCGUGUCGUGAGAUGUUGGGUUAAGUCCCGCAACGAGCGCAACCCUUUUCCUUAUUUGCCAGCGGGUCAUGCCGGGAACUUUAAGGAUACUGCCAGUGACAAACUGGAGGAAGGCGGGGACGACGUCAAGUCAUCAUGGCCCUUACGGCCAGGGCUACACACGUGCUACAAUGGUCGGUACAAAGGGUUGCUACCUCGCGAGAGGAUGCUAAUCUCAAAAAGCCGAUCGUAGUCCGGAUCGCAGUCUGCAACUCGACUGC
rnacentral:rRNA from 1 species